UGGCGCGCUAAACACAACAUAAAAAAUGUUCGAAAGCAAAAUUUGUGGAUGAAGUAUAUUUUGAAUUUUUGAAAAUUUUCGUGUAAAAGUAAACAAUACACGGUGUGGUUAAUGAACAGGAGUUGGUUCAAAAAACAUGAAAACAUUAGGGCUAACACACUUAUGAGAUGUUCAUGCUGCUGGUACUUGAGAGCAAUCGGAUCUUUGGUAAAAAAUACAGCUGGAUAUCUCGCAGGAAACAUCGCGAUAACAAUCCUUGACAUUAGAUGAUGGUUUAACUACAAACACGAGCUAGGCACUACAGCAAAUGUGGCUGGAACGAUGCACACAUAACCCCCUUCUUCUGCAUAGUCUGCAGACACAUAGCUGCCAUAUUUGACAGCGAUUUUCCUUGUAUUGCUCCACAGUAAGGAAGGUCCCAUACUAAGUAUACACAAAUGCUGGAAGUUCUGAAGGGCUUUCCACUUCGUCCAAUCUAUCGACAAGAGUGUCCCGCUAGCUGCGACGGUACCGAUUGCCCAGAUCCGAAGGCUUGCGAUCCACUGGCGGUACGAGUGGUGUUAGAAAACAUUGUUGUUUUUAUUUUUAUGUUUUGUUCCGCAUACGAGUAAUAAAAAUAAAUGUGGUAUGGUAAGCGCAA